rnacentral:rRNA from 1 species
CCUACGGGGGGCAGCAGUGGGGAAUAUUGGGCAAUGGGCGCAAGCCUGACCCAGCAACGCCGCGUGAAGGAAGAAGGCUUUCGGGUUGUAAACUUCUUUUAAGAGGGAAGAGCAGAAGACGGUACCUCUUGAAUAAGCCACGGCUAACUACGUGCCAGCCGGCGCGGUAAUACGCAGCGGGCAAGGUUUGUCCGGAUUUACUGGGUGUAAAGGGCGUGCAGCCGGGAAGACAAUGCAGGUGUGAAAUCCCGGGGCUCAACCGCGUAACCGCCUUUGAAACUGGUGUUCUUGUGUACCAGAGAGGUAAGCGGAAUGCGUUGUGUAGCGGUGAAAUGCAUAGAUAUAAGGAAGAACACCAGUGGCGAAGGCAGAUGACUGGACGGCAACUGACGGUGAGGCGCGAAAGCGUGGGGAGCAAACAGGAUUAGAUACCCUAGUAGUC